rnacentral:lncRNA from 1 species
AAGGAGAAAAUAUCUGAGUCUAAUGAUCUGUUUAAAGCCCAUUUUGUUGUUGAUGUUGUUUUUGUUUUGUUUUGUGGCUAGUGAAACAGGACAAUGGAGGGAAUAUGAAAAAGAACAAGAUAAAGAAGAAGAGGAGCAGGAACACAAAAGGCUUCAAAGCUCCAGGUGUGAACAGAGAAGGAGGCUGUUGUCUGGGAAAUGCUGAGCAGAAGCACGUAAAGAAGGAGGAAGGGUGUACAAGUCACAAGUCAUCAAAAGCCCUGUUGGCUACGAGUCCUCACCAGCUAAUGACCCGGUCUGUUGACUGCCCAGAUGGGUUCUUCCUGCAGAGUUGCAAGAUGGUUUCCAGUAAGUCCCAGAUUUGAUGCUUCAAAUUUUAACUACCAAGGCUACUGGAGAUAUUGCUUUGAAGAAAGAUUGCAAAUUGAUGGUCAUUCUUCUCAUAUAAUCUUUCUCCAGAAGGAAUUAUUUACACUGAAAAUUUUUUGGAGAAUAGAAAAAGCUUCUGAGGACAAAUGAAUAGAAGUAAAUGUUGGUUAAAGAAGAAAGCUAAUUAUUUUUCUUAGCUGUGGAACUUUUAGGUGUUUAUGAAAUGCUAAUAUAGGUUGUGAAUCUUUAAGAGGAUGACAUCCUAUUGACAAAAGAAAAUCUACCAACCGCUCAAGAAAGCUGUGUGCGCCAGAGAAAAUUUUGCAAAAAUCUUUCCUGGAAAAAGGAAGGACAUUUCAAUCUGUUGAGUUUUUCUUGACGUUGAUGGGAAUGGUAAACAGCUGGGGUCUGGAUGGCACACCAUGGGAUCACAAUCAAAAGGUCGAAAAUGAUACCAUUAAA